ACUAUUUUGACAGAUAAAUGUGAUGGUUUUAGAAAUCAUUUAUAUAUAAUUUUUGAUUAUAUAAAUAGUA
rnacentral:tRNA from 1 species